rnacentral:rRNA from 1 species
UACGUAGGGGGCUAGCGUUGUCCGGAAUCAUUGGGCGUAAAGCGCGCGUAGGCGGCCAGAUAAGUCCGGUGUGAAAGUCACAGGCUCAACCUGUGAAUGCCGCUGGAAACUGUCUGGCUAGAGUCCGGAAGGGGCGAGUGGAAUUCCUGGUGUAGCGGUGAAAUGCGCAGAUAUCAGGAGGAACACCGGUGCGAAGGCGCCACUCUGGGCCGGUACUGACGCUGAGGAGCGAAAGCGUGGGGAGCAAACAGG